CGUUAAAUGCAUUUAUGGUGAAAUUCAUUAUGAGGGGUGGUGGUCAACUUAAAAAGAAGCCAUUCAAAGCUAUACUAUGUAAUUCAAGUGGACUUCUCUGUAAGAACAUCAGGUUUUACCAGAAAUACCACUUUUACAAAGUUUACAGGGUCUUUCUCAAGGGCACCGCUAAUCUAACAUAUAUUCUUUGUCACAAUCUAGACUCUUCAUAGAAGAUGAAGACUUGCCAUGAUCAAGAAUACCAGCUAUUUGCUGAAGUUCAUCUUUCAAAACGAACAGCAUGGAGUACAGUACUCAUCAGAUGCUGUGAACAGGUGUAGCCCAAAUGCAACAGAUUCAGACUUUGAUGCAGCAAUGGCAGAUCACCUGAAGCACACUGGGGUUGAUGGAUACUUGUUUUAUGGCUGUUUUAACAGUAAUACAAGACUGUUAGGAAAUAAUUUGGUAGUGCCAUAGCUCUGACUUUUAACCAUUAAUGGUGGAACACAUGAAUCACACUCCCGGAAGAGCCGGUGGUCGGGGACCAAGAAAAUGGAAAAAAAGUAGUGUCAUAUGUUUUUGUAAUACUGUACUUUUGUCAUUUUCAUGUUUGAUUAAUGGCUGCUAAACAUCAAUGUUAAACUCCAUUGCUUUCGAGAUUCUACUAUUUUUAUUUUCUUGUUUGAAUAGUAGCUGUCAAACAAAUGGAAGACCAUUCAAAAAUGUGAUGUUCACUAUAAAAUAUGCUGUGCUAAAUUAAAAACACUAAAUUUUGCCUAAAUCCACAAAUAAAGUGUUAUUGUUUGUGAUGUGCACGUGAUUGAAACGUUUUAUAGACGUUCAGGUCAGACCGGACCGAUUUUGGACCUUUUUAGAACUUAAGUCAAUUUAAGACACGUAAACCUUAAUACAUAAUUGCUUGCCUUGCACGAUGUGCAUUUAGAUACAUGCGUAGAUGUCAUCAGAUCUCUAGGGUUGCAUAUAUGAUUGUUACUUUGACUUCAGUUACGUUUAAUUAUAUAAAUAUUGAAGCGGUUGAAAGGGCGUCCUCUUGUGACGUCCUCUACACGUGCAUUUUUAGUCCAUCGUGACCCUCUGUAAAAUUCUUAUGAAAUAAGCAAAAGAAAUUCUGCUUACCUUGAAUAAUACUGCAAUGAUUCAUUUGAGUGCCCAAUUAGUUUUAAAAAUGUUGUGAAUAGACGUUGACUGACGUUACACGUCAUGCACCCUUUCACAAUUUAAAGUGGAUGAUUGCCAAAACUGUGCGGUCAAAAUCCGUAAUCCAUACUCCAGUCCAGUUGGUGGCGGUAAUGCUCCUUCAGUUGAUUUACCAUCAGCAAUAAACUCUAAAGAAGAGGAAGACUCGGUAAUGUCGGUUUGGUUUAUUUCGAAAAGUGACGGAGUAUUACAAAUACUUCUGUUGGGAUUCCAAAGGAAUAUUUUCCAUGCUUUUCGGUUUUAAAGAUGACUUCAGCGAAUAGCUGGCAUUCUGGAACAUGAAUCACGUUAAAUGCCUUUAUGGUGAAAUUUAUCAUGAGGGGUGGUGGUCAACUUAAAAAGAAGCCAUUCAAAGCUAUACUAUAUAGUUCAAGACUCUUCAUAGAAGAUCAAGACUUGCCAUGAUCAAGAAUACCAGCUAUUUGCUGAAGUUCAUCUUUCAAAACGAACAGCAUGGAGUACAGUACUCAUCGGAUGCUGUGAACAGGUGUAGCCCAAAUGCAACAGAUUCAGACUUUGGUGCAGCAAUGGCGGAACACAUGAUGCACACUGGGGUUGAUGGAUACUUGUUUUAUGGCUGGUUUAACAGUAAUACAAGACUGUUAGGAAAUAAUUUGGUAGUGCCAUAGCUCUGACUUCCAUGCAUCAAUGGUGGAACACAUGAAUCACACUCCUGGCAGAGCCGGUGUUCGGGGACCAAGAAAAUGAGUUAACAUUUUGAAAAAAAUGGACUUAAGUAGUUUCAAAUGUGUUUCUGUAAUACUGUACUUUUGUCAUGUUCAUGUUUGAUUAAUGGCUGCUGAACAU